UACGUAGGUGGCAAGCGUUAUCCGGAUUUACUGGGUGUAAAGGGCGUGUAGGCGGGACUGCAAGUCAGAUGUGAAAACCACGGGCUCAACCUGUGGCCUGCAUUUGAAACUGUAGUUCUUGAGUACUGGAGAGGCAGACGGAAUUCCUAGUGUAGCGGUGAAAUGCGUAGAUAUUAGGAGGAACACCAGUGGCGAAGGCGGUCUGCUGGACAGCAACUGACGCUGAGGCGCGAAAGCGUGGGGAGCAAACAGG
rnacentral:rRNA from 2 species